rnacentral:tRNA from 1 species
GGAUUCUUAGGUUCGGGUCAUUGAACGGACGGAUGCCGGGGGAGUUCGAAUCUCCCAGGAUCCACCA